UCACCCUCAAAGUUGUCCGCAUCUGAGCUGUCAUAAAAAGGCUCAUCAUCUAAUAGCUUACCGGUCAGAUUUUUCUUGGGUAUGUCAAUGUCUUCAAAACCUGGAUCUAUGCCAACUUCUCCCAGAAAACACUCAGCAACUUUUUUCUUUCUUGGCUCCCUUUUUUUCUUCACAUAUGCUUUCAAAUCUGCCUUAACUAUGUUUAGCUCUUCAUGAACAUCACUUCCGUUACCAUUUUCAUCAUCAAAAAGGUUAAUAUUUUCAUUGUCUUCAGCGUCACUAUGCACAGUAUCUUUUACAUCAUCUUCCUCUUCACUAGACAACCCAAAUUCAUCUUCAAUUUCAUUUGUGCUCUAACUCACUCACAAGUAUACCACCAAUAUGAAACCUUAAAUUUAUGUAUUUGUCGGUCAUUUUACUGGAACAAUAGAUAUAUGCAAAGUUUAAUAAGCCAACUAUCAUAAAAACUGUAUCAAAAUUAUUAUAAAGCAUUGAUUUUUAACAUAAAUGACAAAAAAUAGGAGAAAGUUAGUUCUCAAGUAAAAUUCAGAUUCAGCCCUAAUUUAAAAAUAAAGAAAUUCGUGGGUGAAGAAAGAAUACAUGUGUGUAGUCGAUUUCUACUCCUUUCAACUCUUUUCAGAUGAGACGAAUCACAAAACCCUAAAUUUUUAUACAAAAUCCCCAAUAUUUUGUGACAUGAAGAACCCUAACUUU